CAUUGGAAGCGCUUUCCACUGACCAGCAUUGAGAUAAAUGUCCUGAGAUUUGGCACCAAUUUGGUAACUUCUGUUUGAAAGUAUGCUGGCAUGUGAGCCCAGGGUGGUUCCAAGCAAACGCAUGUCCUGAGAUGACGCCUAUAGGCUUGUCUGACACCACUCUUGAACCGGUGCAGUCUUCAUCGGACUCCAGGUAGACAAUCUCAGAUGCAUGAAUGCGGGCAGUAAGAUCUUCAUUUCGCUGGUGGUCCUUAGCUGAUGGAGUGAAGACAGAGUACCUUUGGCCCCAUUCAGUCACUGGGUACACCAGUGAAGUGUCAACUGAAUUCUACUUCAGAUUUUAGACGAUGGUUAUGAAUUUGUUGGACUGAAUCAUGACUGUUUUUGAAUUUU